rnacentral:rRNA from 1 species
GAUGAACGCUGGCGGCGUGCUUAACACAUGCAAGUCGAACGGUGAAGCCCAGCUUGCUGGGUGGAUCAGUGGCGAACGGGUGAGUAACACGUGAGCAAUCUGCCCCUGACUCUGGGAUAAGCGCUGGAAACGGCGUCUAAUACUGGAUAUGAACCGUGGAGGCAUCUUCAGCGGUUGGAAAGAUUUUUUGGUCAGGGAUGAGCUCGCGGCCUAUCAGCUUGUUGGUGAGGUAAUGGCUCACCAAGGCGUCGACGGGUAGCCGGCCUGAGAGGGUGACCGGCCACACUGGGACUGAGACACGGCCCAGACUCCUACGGGAGGCAGCAGUGGGGAAUAUUGCACAAUGGGCGCAAGCCUGAUGCAGCAACGCCGCGUGAGGGAUGACGGCCU